UUUAAAAAAAAAGAAGUAUUAAUCACUAGUUAGAGGGAACCCUAUAGAUCUAUUUUCAUACCUAGCUUCAGGAUCUUUACGUGGAUCAUACCCUAUACGCACCCAUGCGUUUCUCCAAGGACCAGUGGUGAAGUAGUAAGCGACGGAUGCCAAAAUAAAACGAAGGGAGUUUUUAUCGACGCCUGCCACAUGUGCAAAAAGAUAUGUACCCUUUUUAUUAAGGCCAGGUCAUCUGGCAUAAUGAAACGGACGGUGAGGUUACAAAGUGCCAUAUCGCGAGGCUUUGUUGGUGCGGGCCCUCCACUGUAAUCGAGAAAGAUUGUUUGCAUAGCCCGCUUUUUUCUAAGUCGACCAAUUACGUUGCCAUCAUACUGCAUUCCUAAGGCAUUCACAGUAUCUUUCCUGAAGUGAGAAAUAUCACUUCAUAUCAAAGAAUUAUACUUACAACUGGCAAGUCCAUCCGAGAGAAUACUGGAGGAGACAUGAACACUGGGGCAGCUUCUUGCAACCAUUCCAGACUUUCUAACUUUUGAGGAGCAACCAGC
rnacentral:lncRNA from 1 species